rnacentral:rRNA from 1 species
AGCGGCAGGCCUUACACAUGCAAGUCGAGGGGUAGAAUGUCUUCGGAUAUUUGAGACCGGCGCACGGGUGCGUAACACGUAUGCAACCUGCCUUUUACUGGGGAAUAGCCCGAAGAAAUUCGGAUUAAUGCCCCAUAUGCUCGCACAAUCGCAUGAUUGAGCGAGGAAAGCUCCGGCGGUAAAAGAUGGGCAUGCGUCCUAUUAGCUUGUUGGUGAGGUAAUGGCUCACCAAGGCUACGAUAGGUAGGGGACCUGAGAGGGUGAACCCCCACACUGGUACUGAGACACGGACCAGACUCCUACGGGAGGCAGCAGUGAGGAAUAUUGGGCAAUGGAGGAAACUCUGACCCAGCCAUGCCGCGUGCAGGAAGACGGCCCUCUGGGUUGUAAACUGCUUUUAUAUGGGAAUAAACCCUUCCACGUGUGGAAGGCUGAAGGUACCAUAAGAAUAAGGAUCGGCUAACUCCGUGCCAGCAGCCGCGGUAAUACGGAGGAUCCAAGCGUUAUCCGGAUUUAUUGGGUUUAAAGGGUCCGUAGGCGGGUCUUUAAGUCAGUGGUGAAAGCCUGCAGCUUAACUGUAGAAUUGCCAUUGAUACUGAAGACCUUGAGUGUAGUAGAAGUAGGCGGAAUAUGGCAUGUAGCGGUGAAAUGCAUAGAUAUGCCAUAGAACACCGAUUGCGAAGGCAGCUUACUAUGUUACAACUGACGCUGAGGGACGAAAGCGUGGGUAGCAAACAGGAUUAGAUACCCUGGUAGUCCACGCCGUAAACGAUGAUUACUCGCUGUUAGCGAUAUACAGUUAGCGGCCAAGCGAAAGCAUUAAGUAAUCCACCUGGGGAG